AUAAAAGCUUGGACCUUCUGCCUUGCAGGGUAGCUUCCUGUUGCCUGAAAAGAGAGCUCGAAGCUUCGGGCAGUGGGGGUGGGGAAGUGAAAUGGGAAUGUG